rnacentral:rRNA from 1 species
AGAGUUUGAUCCUGGCUCAGGACGAACGCUGGCGGCGUGCCUAACACAUUGCAAGUCGAGCGGGGGGAUUUNCUUCGGGAAUGAACCUAGCGGCGGACGGGUGAGUAACACGUGGGCAACCUGCCCUAAGGAGUGGGAUAACACCAGGAAACUGGUGCUAAUACCGCAUAACGAGUCUUCAACGCAUGUUGGAGCCUUCAAAGAUUUAUCGCCUUAGGAUGGGCCCGCGUCCCAUUAGCCAGUUGGUGAGGUAACGGCCCACCAAAGCUACGAUGGGUAGCCGACCUGAGAGGGUGAUCGGCCACAUUGGAACUGAGACACGGUCCAGACUCCUACGGGAGGCAGCAGUGGGGAAUAUUGCACAAUGGGGGAAACCCUGAUGCAGCAACGCCGCGUGAGCGAUGAAGGCCUUCGGGUUGUAAAGCUCUGUCUUCGCUGACGAUAAUGACGGUAAGCGAGGAGGAAGCCACGGCUAACUACGUGCCAGCAGCCGCGGUAAUACGUAGGUGGCAAGCGUUGUCCGGAAUUACUGGGCGUAAAGGAUGCGUAGGCGGCCUCUUAAGUGGGAUGUGAAAUGCCGGGGCUUAACCCCGGAGGUGCAUUCCAUACUGGGAGGCUAGAGUGCAGGAGAGGAAAGCGGAAUUCCCAGUGUAGCGGUGAAAUGCGUAGAGAUUGGGAGGAACACCAGUGGCGAAGGCGGCUUUCUGGACUGUAACUGACGCUGAGGCAUGAAAGUGUGGGGGAGCAAACAGGAUUAGAUACCCUGGUAGUCCACACCGUAAACGAAUGGGCACUAGGUGGUAGGGG